AUUGAACGCUGGCGGCAUGCCUUACACAUGCAAGUCGAACGGUAACAGGUUAAGCUGACGAGUGGCGAACGGGUGAGUAAUGUAUCGGAACGUGCCCAGUCGUGGGGGAUAACUGCUCGAAAGAGCAGCUAAUACCGCAUACGACCUGAGGGUGAAAGCGGGGGAUCGCAAGACCUCGCGCGAUUGGAGCGGCCGAUAUCAGAUUAGGUAGUUGGUGAGGUAAAGGCUCACCAAGCCGACGAUCUGUAGCUGGUCUGAGAGGACGACCAGCCACACUGGGACUGGGACACGGCCCAGACUCCUACGGGAGGCAGCAGUGGGGAAUUUUGGACAAUGGGCGCAAGCCUGAUCCAGCCAUGCCGCGUGCGAGAAGAAGGCCUUCGGGUUGUAAACCGCUUUUGUCAGGGAAGAAAAGGUUCUGGCUAAUACCUGGGACUCAUGACGGUACCUGAAGAAUAAGCACCGGCUAACUACGUG
rnacentral:rRNA from 1 species